GAGGCCUCGUGACCACGGGGAC
rnacentral:miRNA from 1 species